UAAUAGUGUAUAUUAAAAUUGUUGCAGUUAAAAAGUUCGUAGUUGGAAAAAGAGAAUCAUGAUGAUUCUUUAUAAAUUACCUUGAAAAAAAUAGAGUGAUUAAGGCAGGUGAGAGCAGUUGAAUAAUGACGCAUGGAAUAAUAAAUGAGUACUCGUUGGUUUGGUUAUUAAAAGCAGGGAGUAAUGAUUAAGAGGGACAGUCGGGGGUGUUUGUAUUGGAAUGUUAGAGGUGAAAUUCGGUGAUCGUUGCAAGACAGACUACUGCGAAAGCAUUCACCAAGGAUGUUUUCAUNAA
rnacentral:rRNA from 1 species